GCCAUGCCCUCCUCCAGGGGAUCUUCCCAACCUGGGGAUUGACCCCAGGUCUCCCUCAUUGCAGCAAGGUACAGAUUUGAGUUUCCUUUGGGAAGCAUGGUGUGUGAGCUCAGCUCAGACUAUUUUACUCUGUCUGGAAUGUCUCUCCUGACAAGGACUUCACAUGUUCCACCUACUUGGACCAAGUUCCACAAACAGUCCAGUUACUGACAGCCUUUCCCCUAUACCCAAUACUUUGGCCACCUGCCGUGAAGAGCAAACUCAUUGGAAAAGACCCUGAUGCUGGGAAGAAUUGAAGGCAAAAGGAGAAGGGAG